UGCAGUCGAGCGGCAGCGGGAAGUAGCUUGCUACUUUGCCGGCGAGCGGCGGACGGGUGAGUAAUGUCUGGGGAUCUGCCUGAUGGUGGGGGAUAACUACUGGAAACGGUGGCUAAUACCGCAUAACGUCGCAAGACCAAAGUGGGGGACCUUCGGGCCUCACGCCAUCGGAUGAACCCAGAUGGGAUUAGCUAGUAGGUGGGGUAAUGGCUCACCUAGGCGACGAUCCCUAGCUGGUCUGAGAGGAUGACCAGCCACACUGGAACUGAGACACGGUCCAGACUCCUACGGGAGGCAGCAGUGGGGAAUAUUGCACAAUGGGCGCAAGCCUGAUGCAGCCAUGCCGCGUGUGUGAAGAAGGCCUUCGGGUUGUAAAGCACUUUCAGCGAGGAGGAAGGUGUUCGUGUUAAUAGCACGGACAAUUGACGUUACUCGCAGAAGAAGCACCGGCUAACUCCGUGCCAGCAGCCGCGGUAAUACGGAGGGUGCGAGCGUUAAUCGGAAUUACUGGGCGUAAAGCGUACGCAGGCGGUUUGUUAAGUCAGAUGUGAAAUCCCCGAGCUUAACUCGGGAACUGCAUUUGAAACUGGCAAGCUAGAGUCUCGUAGAGGGGGGUAGAAUUCCAGGUGUAGCGGUGAAAUGCGUAGAGAUCUGGAGGAAUACCGGUGGCGAAGGCGGCCCCCUGGACGAAGACUGACGCUCAGGUACGAAAGCGUGGGGAGCAAACAGGAUUAGAUACCCUGGUAGUCCACGCUGUAAACGAUGUCGAUUUGAAGGUUGUGGCCUUGAGCCGUGGCUUUCGGAGCUAACGCGUUAAAUCGACCGCCUGGGGAGUACGGCCGCAAGGUUAAAACUCAAAUGAAUUGACGGGGGCCCGCACAAGCGGUGGAGCAUGUGGUUUAAUUCGAUGCAACGCGAAGAACCUUACCUACUCUUGACAUCCAGAGAAUUAGGCAGAGAUGCCUAAGUGCCUUCGGGAACUCUGAGACAGGUG
rnacentral:rRNA from 1 species